AUAAAAAUUUGUACACACAAAAAAAUAUUCAACGCGUUCCUUCCACCCUACUCUCCUCUCAUAUAAAGGAACUUCCAGAUUCAAUUUACUGCCCCUAAAAAACUUAUAUAUAUACACCUUACAAUCAUAAACGCUUCAUAAUAUAUUUUCAUUCAUUCUUUUAAUUUACACCAAACAAAGAAUUUUAUUCACCCCAAAUCAAAUUACAUUUUCAUAGAAAAAUUAAAACUUUGGAAUAUAUCAACAUGAAUUCUAACGGUUCAUCAAUGAAGUUUUACGCAUUGCCUAUUUUUGGGUUUUUGAUGAUGGCUUUUUUUAAGGUUGCUCAAGGCCAGAUGAUGGCUCCUUCCCCUGCUACCGCUCCUCCUCCUUCUAACGACAGUGCUACUAUUGAUCAAGGGAUUGCAUACGUUCUAUUGGCGGUUGCGCUUGCUGUUACUUACCUCUUUCACUAAUUUAUUAUGGUGAUUUUAGACUUUAUUAUGAGUAAUUAUAGGUGAUAAUAUUAGAAUUUUGAUUAAUUAAUAUGAUAUAUAUAGUUUGAUCAAUUCUUUAGCUACUUUUUAUUUUUCUCCCAGGAUAUCCAAGGGUGAAGAAAAAAUUGUAGUGUUUUUUGUAUUCUUUAUUAUGGUAGUAAAUAAAUAAAAUUACUGUUUCUGUUUUUUUCA